AGUUUGAUCCUGGCUCAGGAUGAACGCUGGCGGCGUGCUUAAUACAUGCAAGUCGAACGGAGGACUUUUGUAGUAAUACAGGAGUUUCUCAGUGGCGAACGGGCGAGUAACGAGUUGGUGACCUGCCCCGAAGUGUGGGAUAACAGUCCGAAAGGAUUGCUAAUACCGCAUGUGAUCAUCGGUUUUAGAAUCUGAUGAUUAAAGCAGCAAUGCGCUUCGGGAGGGACCUGCUUCCCAUCAGCUAGUUGGUGAGGUAAUGGCCCACCAAGGCUACGACGGGUAAGGGACCUGAGAGGGUGGUCCCUCGCAAUGGCACUGAAACACGGGCCAUACACCUACGGGUGGCAGCAGUAGGGAAUAUUGGGCAAUGGGCGAAAGCCUGACCCAGCAACGCCGCGUGCACGAUGAAGGCCUUCGGGUCGUAAAGUGCUUUUCUGAGGAAUGAGUAAGGACAGUACCUCAGGAAUAAGCCUCGGCUAACUACGUGCCAGCAGCCGCGGUAAAACGUAGGAGGCAAGCGUUAUCCGGAUUUACUGGGCGUAAAGCGUGUGUAGGCGGUUCGGCAAGUUGGAUGUGAAAGCUCCUGGCUUAACUAGGAGAGGUCGUUCAAUACUACCGAACUUGAGGGCAUCAGAGGAAGGUGGAAUUCCCGGUGUAGUGGUGAAAUGCGUAGAUAUCGGGAGGAACACCAGUGGCGAAGGCGGCCUUCUGGGAUGUUCCUGACGCUCAGACACGAAAGCUAGGGUAGCGAACGGGAUUAGAGACCCCGGUAGUCCUAGCAGUAAACGAUGUAGACUUGGUGUCGGAGGUGUCAAAACCUUCGGUAUCGUAGCUAACGCGAUAAGUCUACCGCCUGGGGACUACGGCCGCAAGGUUAAAACUCAAAGGAAUUGACGGGGGCCCGCACAAGCAGCGGAGCGUGUGGUUUAAUUCGAUGUUACACGAAGACCUUACCCAGGUUUGACAUGUUGGUGGUAGGAAUCCGAAAGGUGACCGACCCGCAAGGGAGCCUUCACAGGUGCUGCAUGCUGUCGUCAGCUCGUGUCGUGAGAUGUUCGGUAGUCGCUACGAGCGCAUCCUCGCCGUAUGCUACAUGUGUCAUGCGGACGUUGUAUCAGCUGAGAGGUGGGGAUGACGUCAGUCAGCAUGCCUUUAUUCUGGCUACCACACGCUACAUGGGCCGGCUACAAUGGGGGUCGCCCUAUAGCCCCCCAG
rnacentral:rRNA from 1 species